rnacentral:lncRNA from 1 species
GAAGAAGCUCGGCAUAAUCACCAUGAUCAGUUACAUGUACGGAGUAAGGUGUCAAGAAAUUCAAGGACCAGGAUGAGUUUGGUUUGUGCUGCUUUUUUAAGACACCAUGGAGUGAAAGAUGUAAUAGGAUAAAGUCCAGACAUUGUAAAACUCCACUAAUGAUAUCUGAGAGCCUGAUACCCUAGGGCAGGAGAAACUCAGGUGUUUCUGUGCUUCACCACUGGGGCCAGUCAGAGAAGGUAUAUUUGGUGUUGCAGUAAGUCAGGUGGCAAGCCCUUUGUCAUAUCACAGCAGUCCAUAUGUAGACACUCUUCUCAGUGCACAAGGAUAGGCUGAAAUCCCCCCAUUUGCUGGGGGUAAGGGUGCCCUCCAAUGCAUAAUGAGAACAUGACCAAAUAGACACCUUAAUACUGCAUGUCUCAUGGAAGCAUGGAAGGAGGCUGUUUUUACAACACAAAGUUCAGCCUAUAUUCCUUCUUGUUGAGAAGUUUGUGACCUGGAUUUCCAAGAGGUAACGCUUCUUUCUUCUCUGCUUUUACCACUCGUGUCCAGAAAUUGCUGGAAAGCCUAUUUUCAUCAGUAUCAGGCAGAAAACUCCAGCUUUAUAAUGAAGUCCUUUGUGGCUACCUGACUUCUGGCAGUGGAUGUGCUCCUUGACUAAGAAUCAGAUCUUCACAGGAGGGUAUAAGAGUGUAUUCUCAAGGUCUAAAGGCUUCACAGGAUAAGAUGUCAUCCUUCCAUCUAGAUAAGUAACAGAAUUGAAGCCUCCCUUUGAUGCUGGAGCUUUGGUUUCAUCCCUUUAACCACUUUGGAAGAUGAUCCAACUUCCUGUAGAUUGCAUUG